UCAAACGCGACGCUGAACUUUACCUGCCGCAUCAGUUGUUAUUCUUGUUCUGUAGUCGUCUGAGGCAGCGUCUUUCCUCGACUGACGGUCCCUUCAUGUGCGUCUGAAGCUUAUUCUGUUCCGCCAGCGCGCGUAAACAAAAAUCGGCCACGUGGUGAUUGUGUCAUGAUCAACAGGGUAAAUACGUAAACACGCAUCCCUUCCACGCAUCCUGUGACGUGAAGGAAAGGCGCGCGAGUUGAGUGCGAGUGACCGAUGCUACUCUCUGCUGCAAUUUAGCAGCUGUGUUUGUUGUUGAAAAGUAGAUUUAGCCACUACCUUGGCUCCUCCACCGGCACUUGUGGGCUAUAGCCUUGUCGGCGUAUAUCCUUACGCCGUUUGGCAGCCCCAGAACCAGUCACAACCCGAUCCAAUUGGGCCCAUUCGCACUCAACGCAACCCCAGUCACAGAUCGUCUCCAUAUCCUUCUCAAACGGUGCAGAUACCCGUACAGCUUGCUGUGCAACCUCAGCCGAGCACAGUAGUGCAACCUCCGCACGUGGUUGUAGCUCCUUGUAGUUGCAGCAACCCAAGUGGCAACUCCGAGCCCAAAGACAGCACGCAAGUGCAAGGCUCUACUUCAGCAGCUGCAACUUCUUCUACAACGACUCCAAUGUUGUUCGUGCCGUUCACUGUUCCCACUUUUGCCCCCACCGUGGCCGCCGCUGUGACCACAUUGCCUAACAUGGGAACUCCUAAGGUAUCGAUGGGUGACAAUGGGAACAAAAUCAUGGUUUUGUCCUCCGGCAACAACAACUCUCUUCCCUACGUUGAACAUUAUAAGGAUCUCAAGACCGGAUGGGUGUCCAGUUCUUCGGUGACAACCUCAGGAAAUCCACCUACACUUUUGGCAGUACCUUCAAUAAUAACGCAGCAACCUGUUAAUACCAGCGUUGCUCCAAAUCUUCAAGCGGCAGUAACUGCUGUUCCUGUUCAGCUAAAAACUACACCCGCCAUUGUUGCACCUAUUAUGACCAACCCUCCAAAACCUGAUACUUCAAAGCACCAUCACAUUUUCGUUGGAGACCUUAGUCCAGAAAUAGAAACUCAGACGCUCCGAGACGCUUUUGCAGCUUUCGGGGAAAUUUCCGAUUGUCGCGUAGUUCGAGAUCCUCAAACUUUGAAAUCAAAAGGAUAUGGAUUUGUAUCAUUUAUAAAGAAGGGGGAAGCCGAAAGUGCUAUCGCAGCAAUGAACGGACAAUGGUUGGGAAACCGCAGCAUCAGGACCAAUUGGGCAACUCGUAAACCACCAACUGCCAAAAACGAAGCAUCAAAACCUUUGACUUUUGACGAAGUAUACAAUCAAAGUAGUCCAACAAAUUGCACCGUAUACUGUGGAGGCAUCACAAACGGCUUGACCGAAGAACUGAUGCAGAAGACUUUCGCUCCAUUCGGGACCAUUCAGGAGAUUAGAGUUUUUAAAGAGAAAGGCUAUGCUUUUGUUAGAUUUUCCACAAAAGAAUCCGCCACCCAUGCCAUUGUCGCAGUGCAUAACACAGACAUCAACGGUCAAGUUGUCAAAUGCUCAUGGGGCAAAGAAUCAGGGGAUCCAAAUAAUGCUCCAACUGCCAGUCAAACUAUAUCAGGAACGAGCUUUCCAUACGGCACUUACGGGCAACAGUUGGGAUACUGGUAUCCGCAAAGCUACACUACAGCAAGUGCAUCUCAAAUGCCAGCAGGACAAUUUAUAGGUGGGAUGCAGGGAUAUGCCUAUGGACCGAUCGGUGGCUAUCAAUCUCCUUCAUAUGCGAUGGGUAUGGGAUUGCAAGUCCCAACUGCUGCAACAUCCUGGCAAAGCAUUCCAGCUCCUUCUCAACUCCCAACAACUCCGCAGCAGAUGGCUACGCCAACAACAACGUUGCAGCAACCAGGAAUAGUAUUUCCAAUUCAACAAUAUCAACACUUAAAUUGCUGACUUCCCAGACAGUGGAAUUUGAUUAUCUCUGAUGCAUCUAGAAAAUAAGAAUGGCCCAAUGAAACAUAGAUUCUUAACACGUAAAUACGACAGAGCAUUAAUAUUUAGCGAUUUAAUGCUAUUCAAUCUCAUUCUGUGCCAAAUUGCGAUACAUUUUAUAUUGUCGACUUCUUAUGAUGGAAAUUAUGAGGACUAAAGGUCAUCUAUAAAUAUUUAUUUUUUUUUAAUUGUGCCUCGAAUUAAGCUGUUUCGUAAAAUUUAAGCAACAUUUUAAUGAAGUGUUACCAAGCAGUCCAGGAGAUAAUAAUUUUAAUAAUAAAAUGAGAAUAACGAAUAAUUGUUUGUGAGAUUGAGUGUUUGUUGUGUUUGUUGCUAUAUGUAAUAAAAUCUGCCGAAAGUCCAGAGAAAUAUUCGAAAACAUUUGUUCCAAAUCAUUUUAACGAUCCAUUAAACAGAAUCAGUUUAAUGGAAACAAGUUGUUAAUAACGGUCUAUUUGCUUUUCUGUUUUUAAUUAAUUUACAAAUAACUUUCAAAAUAGGCAGAUUAUUAAUACAUAAUAUGGCUAGUUUUCCACUUGCUUUGGCAAAUUAGAUUAAUCUGCACACUGACGUGUACGUGCAUAAAUAAAAUUUUUUAACAGUUGGCUGAAGAUACCGAAUGGUUGACACCUCUUCUGGUAUGAAUUUAACAUAUGCAGCAUUAGGGAAAAUGUUCGAGGAUAAUUUGAGAAAGUUGCGUCAGAGUAACCUUUAGCCCUCAAAUUUCCGACUUUCUCUUUUCCUAUGAUGUGGAUCAAAUUGGUCUUAGACCGUGAAAAUGACCCGUGGAUUCAUACUUCGAAGGCUAUUCUUGUAACCAACUAAAAGUGAUAAUUUAGGGUUGAUUUUGAGAUGUACAAAUACAAUUAGUGUAAAUGUGAAGUAGAUAGGAUAAAUAAAUAUUUAUAUAUAAUAAAUUAUAUUUAUAUGUAUUUCCUACAGUAAUAGCCUGUUAUCAUCUAUUAAAAAUAAUGGGCUAUUGCCAUACGGUUUAUGUAAGUAGGUUAAGCUAAACGAAAAUCAAUGUACAGAUAAUAUCUAAUUGUAAAUAAAACCAAAUAUCGAACGCAAGUACCCAAAACAACCAAAAAAAAAAUAGUUUUUGUAAGUGUGACUUAUAGAUGGAGCUUUGAAAAAGAAAAACGAAAAAUAAGUGAUAAAAAUAUAAAUCUAACGUGAUACUUAGAAAUUUUAUAUAAAGCACUUAUUUCAACAGAGGGCAAAUUUUGAUACCAAAUAUAGAAAUAUGACUCUAAAAUUAGAGUUACCAUUUAAUAGGUAUUUUUAGACAAAUAUAGUGCGAAUUACAAUUGAAUACAUGGAUAAAGUGUAGGAUAUUCGUUUGCCGCAACAAGACCAGGCCCACUAUAUCCCAAUUUUGGUCCAAAACUGCCCUAGCUGAUGUUGUUUUACGGUUUCAGGGACCCACUGGACGCACGUUUAAUGCGAAAACGGUAUAUUUUGUUUCCCAUUUACUUACAUUUGCAUUUUCCCAUUUGCGUACAUCUUGCCCAUGAGAAUCAGACAAUCUUCUAACUACAUUUAUGCGAUUCACUCGUUUACAUUCUCAGUUUCAAAAUUCAAUAAUGUUUUCGAACUAGGGGAUCUAUAUGUAGAAGUAAAUAAAGCUCGAAAUUGGUAGAAUUAACGUUACGUUAAUGACAGCAAAUAUGUUGUUGGCCGUAUCUGCUCCAUACUCUUUAUCAUCUCAUUCAGUAUGCAACGAAGUGAACUUGCUCUAAAAAUGUUAAGUUCAUAUUGUUUGCAAGUGAAUUACGACCCAAGUUGAUAUACAUAGUUGGUUCUAUGCAUUUCUCCCUAAUGACUACAAGGCCGAGCUUCCUGAAUCCAUGUAUUCAAUUUUAGUUUAAGGCUCGUUGGAAUGAAUUAAGUUUUUGUGCAAUAUUUUGAAGUUGUUGUUUUUGUUUAGGCUAUUAUAAAUAUAUUAUACGGUAUGAGGUGUUCCACUAGCUGUUAUCUUACUUCAUCGUUUUGUGGUCUGUUUCCCAAUGUUCUGAAAAUUUGCUUCAGGACAUCGUAGCGGUAACUAAAUGGGAUACCUUAUAUGUAGUGUCGUUGUUGGUUGAAAGUUGACAAGAACUCGGCGAGAAAGCUGACUUACUUUGUUAUCUUUUCCUAGUGAAAUUUAAUCAUAACUUCAAAGUUGAAUCGUUAACGGACUUAUAAGUUCUUCAAUUUUCAGCAACGUUUCACGACUUUGAUGUUAUCAAGCAGUUUGGUAUCGUCGUACAAAACACUGUUUACUACAUGUGAAGCUUUAUUUUUGUUUUAGAUGUUAGGUUGUCUAGUAUGUACUUACACUGAAAGCCAAACUGCUAGAUUUUAUUAACCCCUUGGUUAGGUGAAUAAAAAUAUUGUCCCAUUUAAUGUCAAUUGCCCUAUAUCUGAGUUAUUAUGGAUCGAUCAGUAUUUCUCAAUGUUCGUAUAUAAAUGUCAAUUGCACCAUAUAUGUCCGUUGUCUCAAGUGCAGAAAACCGUUAACUAGUGUAGCAUGAUCAAGAAAAUACAUAUUUUUAGAGACCUUAGUAGCUUUAAGGUUUGAGUGCAAUGUAUAUUAAGCAGUAAGUGUUCGAGUGUGCAUAUAAUACCAUAGGAUACGAUCAACAUAUAUAAUAACAACUGAGAUAUAGAGGUGCAUCCAUUACAAAUUACAAAUGGGAUAAAUAAGUUAGCUAUUGAUGAAAAAUGUAUUUGCACGCUUACCCAAAUAGCACCAUUAUAUAUGACGACUGUAUAAAUGUUAAUUGUAAAAGAAUCACUAAAAGUAAUAUAAACAUAUACCACAA